UAUCAAGUCUGGAAAGAGGUGCAUUCAGAAUAUAUAGAGAAAAAACUCACUUUUGAGAGUGCCCUUUGCAGUCUGGACCCACCAAACCCGCACUCCCGGGUUACCAUCAUUAAUUUGUCAGCACUGUGACCAGUACUCCCCAAUACACAUGUUGCCGUGUGUAUUUUCACUGGACCUUUUCCAUACUCUGUCUCCGCCGGUGGAGAGGGUAGAAAAGUGAAUGGGCAGCUUGUGAGAAGUGCCUGUGUGCAAAAAGUGUUACAACCAUACCCGGUCUCCCCUACCUGUCCCACUCCUACGCACCUGUCACUCGUUAUAGAGGUGUUAAGUAAUUAACUGUUUCAAAUGUACGUGUUAAACAAAUGACAUGCACUGCAUUAAUAGAACAACUGUCGCUUUCUUGGAAGCUAGGUUUAUUUAUUCACUUUGGACAAAGCCAAGUUAGAUGUUUUGCUCUCCUUCCAGUCUCAAUGCUAAAUAAACUAGACUAAAAAUGA